rnacentral:rRNA from 1 species
AUGACGGCACCAGCGGAGCUUUCCCGUGAGGAGAAUGUGUACAUGGCUAAGCUCGCUGAGCAGGCUGAGAGGUACGAGGAGAUGGUUGAGUUCAUGGAGAAGGUGGCCAAGACCGUCGACUCCGAGGAACUCACUGUGGAGGAGCGCAACCUCCUCUCUGUUGCAUACAAGAAUGUGAUUGGAGCCCGCCGUGCCUCAUGGCGCAUCAUCUCCUCCAUUGAACAGAAGGAGGAGAGCCGUGGCAACGAGGACCGGGUCACACUCAUCAAGGAAUACCGUGGCAAGAUCGAAACUGAGCUUAGCAAGAUCUGUGAUGGCAUCCUCAAGCUGCUCGAAACCCACCUUGUCCCGUCUUCCACUGCCCCUGAGUCCAAGGUCUUUUAUCUUAAGAUGAAGGGUGACUACUACAGGUAUCUUGCCGAAUUCAAGAGUGGGCCUGAGAGGAAGGAUGCUGCUGAGAAUACCAUGGUGGCAUACAAGGCUGCUCAGGAUAUUGCUUUGGCUGAGCUGGCUCCAACUCAUCCGAUUAGGCUUGGGCUGGCACUAAACUUCUCGGUGUUCUAUUAUGAGAUCCUCAACUCGCCUGAUCGUGCUUGCAAUCUCGCAAAACAGGCAUUCGAUGAGGCCAUUUCGGAGCUGGACACCUUGAGCGAAGAAUCCUACAAGGACAGCACCUUGAUCAUGCAACUCCUUCGUGAUAACUUGACCCUCUGGACUUCCGACAUCACGGAGGACACCGCGGAGGAGGAGAUCAGGGAGGCUCCGAAGCAUGACUCCAGCGAGGGGCAGUAA